rnacentral:lncRNA from 1 species
AGCACCUUAACUGAAUUGAUCGAUAUACUGGUAACUAAGGAACUUUGAAAAGUUCAGAGGUGCAUACUUGGAGAACCUAAAGAAAUAUUGACAUGCUUUUAGAAAGUAUGUCCAAUUACUCAAAAUUAAUCUUACGAUUUUUUCUUUUUCAUUAGACUCUAGUGCAUAUUAUGUACUUUAACAUAAGAUCUAAGGAAGAGGACCAAGGUAAGGUGAAAUGACUCUUUUGAGUCGACAAUGGUGCAAAAAUUACACU